rnacentral:rRNA from 1 species
GACAGAGGGUGCAAACGUUGUUCGGAAUUACUGGGCGUAAAGCGUGUGUAGGCGGUCCGCUAAGUCGGGUGUGAAAGUCCAGGGCUCAACCCUGGGAUGCCGAUCGAUACUGUCGGACUAGAGUUCGGAAGAGGCGAGUGGAAUUCCCGGUGUAGCGGUGAAAUGCGCAGAUAUCGGGAGGAACACCAAUGGCGAAGGCAGCUCGCUGGGACGUUACUGACGCUGAGACGCGAAAGCGUGGGGAGCAAACAGG